rnacentral:rRNA from 1 species
CCUACGGGCGGCAGCAGUGGGGAAUAUUGCGCAAUGGGCGAAAGCCUGACGCAGCGACGCCGCGUGAGGGAUGAAGGUCUUCGGAUCGUUAACCUCUUUCAGCAGGGAAGAACGGUCACUGUGCUAAUCAGCAGUGAAUUGACGGUACCUGCAAAGGAAGCACCGGCUAACUCCGUGCCAGCAGCCGCGGUAAUACGGAGGGUGCGAGCGUUAAUCGGAAUUACUGGGCGUAAAGCGCUCGUAGGCGGUAUGUCAAGUCAAGGGUGAAAUCCCCGCGCUCAACGUGGGAACUGCCUUUGAAACUGGCAAACUGGAGUGUGUGAGAGGAUAGUGGAAUUCCAGGUGUAGGAGUGAAAUCCGUAGAUAUCUGGAGGAACAUCAGUGGCGAAGGCGACUAUCUGGCACAUAACUGACGCUGAGGAGCGAAAGCGUGGGUAGCAAACAGGAUUAGAUACCCGGGUAGUC